GACGAACGCUGGCGGCGUGCUUAACACAUGCAAGUCGAACGGAAAGGCCCUGCUUGCAGGGUACUCGAGUGGCGAACGGGUGAGUAACACGUGGGUGAUCUGCCCUGCACUUCGGGAUAAGCCUGGGAAACUGGGUCUAAUACCGGAUAGGAGCCAUUUUUAGUGUGAUGGUUGGAAAGUUUUUUCGGUGUAGGAUGAGCUCGCGGCCUACCAGCUUGUUGGUGGGGUAAUGGCCUACCAAGGAGGCGACGGGUAGCCGGCCUGAGAGGGUGGACGGCCACAUUGGGACUGAGAUACGGCCCAGACUCCUACGGGAGGCAGCAGUGGGGAAUAUUGCACAAUGGGCGCAAGCCUGAUGCAGCGACGCCGCGUGGGGGAUGACGGCCUUCGGGUUGUAAACUCCUUUCGCUAGGGACGAAGCUUUUUGUGACGGUACCUAGAUAAGAAGCACCGGCUAACUACGUG
rnacentral:rRNA from 1 species